rnacentral:rRNA from 1 species
AGUGAACGCUGGCGGUAGGCCUAACACAUGUAAGUCGAACGGCAGCACAGGAGAGCUUGCUCUCUGGGUGGCGAGUGGCGGACGGGUGAGGAAUACAUCGGAAUCUACUUUUUCGUGGGGGAUAACGUAGGGAAACUUACGCUAAUACCGCAUACGACCUACGGGUGAAAGCAGGGGACCUUCGGGCCUUGCGCGAUUGAAUGAGCCGAUGUCGGAUUAGCUAGUUGGCGGGGUAAAGGCCCACCAAGGCGACGAUCCGUAGCUGGUCUGAGAGGAUGAUCAGCCACACUGGAGCUGAGACACGGUCCAGACUCCUACGGGAGGCAGCAGUGGGGAAUAUUGGACAAUGGGCGCAAGCCUGAUCCAGCCAUACCGCGUGGGUGAAGAAGGCCUUCGGGUUGUAAAGCCCUUUUGUUGGGAAAGAAAUCCAGCUGGCUAAUACCCGGUUGGGAUGACGGUACCCAAAGAAUAAGCACCGGCUAACUUCGUGCCAGCAGCCGCCGUAA